rnacentral:rRNA from 1 species
UACGUAGGGUGCAAGCGUUUAAUCGGAAUUACUGGGCGUAAAGCGUGCGUAGGCGGUUUGUUGCGUCGGCUGUGAAAUCCCGAGGCUCAACCUCGGGUCUGCAGUCGAUACGAGCAAACUAGAGUGUUGCAGGGGAGACUGGAAUUCCUGGUGUAGCGGUGAAAUGCGCAGAUAUCAGGAGGAACACCGGUGGCGAAGGCGGGUCUCUGGGCAACAACUGACGCUGGAGGAGCGAAAAGCCGUGGGGGAGCGAACAGG